AAAUGGUACGGUCUGUUCUAGGGGUGUUCAAAAUACCAAAUUUACGUCUUUCCAUAAGAAUUUGGGAGAAAUAUUUUUUUAAUUAAUGUUUCCUACUUUAAACGUUGUGUGUGUAUUUUUAAGAACUCGUCAACUUUAUUUUUGUGUUUACUUCCUAACACUGUUAAAGUCUUCAUUAGAGGUCAGACCCCUACACUCCCUCCCCCCCUCCGGAGACCCUAAUAGUUCGCACCCAGACACACAGAGAAACACUCGGACUAACGGCUUGUGGCCAAAAUAACGGGGCGAGUCAUGAGUCUGGACCAGAGGAAAGCAUUUCAACACAUUCCUGCGAGUAAGCACGUUAUCCUGGCCAAAGUCCCAGUGGAUUCGGAGACUAACCCUGGGAGCAUCAGGUGUGAGGCAGGAAUACACCCUGGAUGGGACACCAUUCCAUCACAGAGCACCACGCACACACACACAUUCACACACUCCCUCACACCUAGGGGCAAUUUAGCGUAGCCAAUCUAUCUACAAGCACGUUGUUUGAGGUGGGAGGAGAACCCAGAGGAAAACCACAGAGACAUGGGGAGAACGUGAAACUCCACACAGACAGUAACAUGAGAACAGAUUUUAAAACCGUGCUGUUAUUUAGGUUUUCCAUCAUGUGAAAGACUUUAAGAUGGAGGACUUUGAGCUUUUCAAUUUCUCUAACAUUUUUUGAAUGCGAAACGUUUUUUUGUCUUAUUAAACGUCAAGAGACAGAAACAGAGAGGCUGGUGAAGGAACGACUGUUUAUAGCUGCUUUAACGGCUGCAGGGGAGCCUGGAGCCUAUCCCAGGGAACUCAGGGUACAAGGCAAGGACAAGGGGGCCAACUCAUCGCAGGGCACAGAGAUCACCCUUUUUCUUCAUUCUGAUGUUUGAUACGCCCUUCCUGACGCAACCCUCCCCAAUUUUAUCCGGACUUGGGACCAGCACUGAGAACACACUGUUGCACGCAGCACCAGAGGCUGGGGCCAGAGCGCUGAGAGCUUGUGGCCUAACCACUAGUCUUCCAGGGGUCCUGUGGCAAAUUACUAUGGUAUAAAAGUAAUGAAACAAUUUGAGAUGGAUUAUAGGAAAAUAAUCAACUUUAUGGUGGUAAGUGUAAGUCUGAUUCACGUCGAACCACAUCACAGCAACCGCGUCGCGUGUGUUCCUGAGCAGGACAUAGUAAAUACUAUGACUUUAAACUUAAAAGUAUGUCAUUUGAGACACAACUUAUGAAGAGAUGUGUGUGUCUGCACAUGUACAUUAAUGCUUGGUGUGGAUCAGUAAUAUUUUACAGGUUGGCAUGGAAACCUGGUAUAAAGGGAAGGUUCGACUUCUCUCUAGUGUGUAAAGGCUUUAAUCUUUUCAGUAUAAAAGGUAUGCAGGCAUGUGUGUAAACAAUACUGCUUAUGUAAUAGCCAUGUGCAAACACCUAUGCAUAGUUAGUUAAAGUAUUCUACAUACAGCUGUUGAAUUCUUGAAUGUGAUUGGUCAGAAAAUGGUAAUUAUAUUUUAUAUUUAAUAUUUAUAUUCAAAUCACAGGGUUGACGUUUAUUUAACAUUUUUGAAAGGAGUCUCCAGCGUCUAUGCUUUGUAAACACGUAGUAAGUUUUGCACCACAGGAAAACUCUUUAGGACUUUCCAGUUUCCCUCCAAUGUUUUACUUAAAUCAAGAGAGAAUAAUUAGAGGCUAGUGAUGGGACAACUGUUUAGAGCUGCUCUAAUGUAAGUGAUAACAGGAACUAACAUGUCUUUCGAAUGUUCCACAACAUGAAACGUAACUAUAAAUGGUUAAAAAGCAUUGGCAAUUCACGGUGGAAUAAGAGGAAUAAAACACUUUAGGGCGAGCUGUUAUAGGAAAACAUCAUUUCAGGGUGGUAACAGUACUUUUACAGUAAGUCUCCUAUAACUGCAUGACCCAUCUUAUUUAACUGCACAUGCAGCACUCUAGUUCUCUCUCUCAUAAAUAAAUUGAGUAGAGAUUAAAGCCAGUCAGACACUAAAGCAGUCAUGAUUUGGAAAACGGUCUUACUACUGAAGGCGCAACUGAAGGAGAAAGCCUUAUUGCCAUCACUAACAAAGAAGUGUUUGAGAAAUAAGCUAGAUCAAUUAUUCAAAUGCUUCAUUUAAGAAUGUCCAGCAAGUGAAGAGGGCCGUGUGUGCUUUACUGCAAGUGUGCAGGGAUGGUGUGAGUGUGUGUGUGUGUGUGUGUGUCUGUGUGUGUGCUAAUGGAGGAAAGGUCAGCAAGCUUUAUUAACCUCCCAACACCUCUCCACCUCACUGAUAAAGUCGCUCCUGACACCACACACACACACACACACACACACACACACACACACGCAGCAUAGGUUAGAGCUAGCCACAAUGACUUCCUCUUGCUCUUUUUCCUAGAUCCGUCUGCCGUGUUUUACUUAAUUGCUUUCUUACUCUCUUUUCACUCUCUCUUUUCUUUCUCUUUCCUUUCAUUUACAUAUUAAAUCAUUACCAUAUUAAGUCGGUUUAUGGACAAGCAUUUAAAUCAAUAAAAUAAUUUAUUAUUUAUUAAUCAGUCAAUAACGAUUGUGUUUAUCAUUUAGGAUUAACACAAUGUCAAACUGACAGAUACUAUUAUUAAAAAUGUGUUUAUACGUGUGUGUGUGUGUGUGUGUGUGUGUGUAGUUAUAUGCAAUAAGUAAGGCAUAAAGCAUAACAGGGUGUGCUGUUAUAGGAAAAUAAUCAGUGACGGGUCCCAAAGUGUUUUCUUCCUCUUACAGCAAUUUGACAACAUUAAAAAAUGUUUAAAGAAUGACAGAUCAUCAGUUUUAUCUGUUUAGAGUUACAUUUAACGUAUUAAAACGAGCACGUUGCUAUAAACCUGGAUUUGAAUUGCAGCUGCACUAUUGUCAGAGCUGCUGUUGUAGAAAAUUAAGCAACACCUUCUGACCAAUCAGACUCAAGAAUUCAGCAGUGGAAUAACACAGAUUACCAACCUAUAGCUCACAGCCCACAUGUCGAACCACUGAAGCUCUCGUAACGCCCAACGCAUCCGAUGUGUUAACACUGGUACAAUUUUUUAUUUUAUUUUAUUUUUUAAAUUUAGGAGACAGUCCAAACAGUUAACAAUCCAAAAAUCAUUCGGAUCAGGGUCAGAAAUGCACAAUAUAACACAAAACACUUUGACAUGAAGACAAACGUGACCCUAUAUACGCUUCCAUUUAAAAAAGUAAUAAAUAAAUAAAUAAAGAUAAUAAUAAUAAUAACAAUAAUAAUAAUAAUAAAAACCUCCAGCAAAUCCAUGAGCAAAUCUGACUGAUCUGUCUCUCAUUCUCUUUAUUUUUUUUCUCUCUCUCUCUGGCUCAGAUUAUUCUGUCUCUUCUCCUCUCGUAACAGGUUUUUCUGUCCUUCUUUCUCUCUCUGACCAGGUUUUUCUGUCUCUUUUACUCACUGAACAGAUCUUUUCUGUGACAGUUUUUUUUUUCUAUCACUCUCUCUAUUAACACGUGUUUUCUCUCUCUCUCUCUCUCUCUCUCUCUCUCUCCAAAUGUUUCUUUUUUUUUCCCUCUCUGACCAGGUUUCUCUGUCUAUCCUCCUCUAUGGACAUGUUUUUUCUGUCUUUUGUUCUCUUUUUUUUGUCUCUUUGACCAGGUUUUUCAGUCUCUCCUCUAUUAACAGGUAACACGUUGACUAUGAACAGGUUUUUCUGUCAGACUGUCUUUAUAUGAAUGUUUUUCUGUCAUUCCUCCUCUGUUAACAAGCUUUUCUUUCUCUUCUCCUCUAUUAGCAGGUUUCUCUGUCUCUCCUCUUCUAUUAACAAGAUUUUGUUCCUAGCUCAUGCAAGGAUUACACAGAAAGAUGUGAAAAACAAAAAAUAUCCGAAGUUCAGCAGGUGGAAACGCCUCGUUGAGAAGAAAGAGAGGUCUUUCAGAAUGGUCUGAGCUGACAGAAAGGCUACGGUAACUCAAAUAACUCAAAUAACUCUACAAGCGUGGUGAGCAGAAAAGCAUCUCAGAAUGCACAAUACGUACAACCUUGAGGCGACUGGGUUACAACAGCAGAAGAACAGAAAUCUGAGGCUACAGGCUCACUGAAACGAGACAUUUGCAGACUGGAAAAAGUCAUCUCUAUUUCUAGUGUAAUAUGCUGAUGGCAGGGUCAGAAUUCAACAUACCAUCAGCAUGAAUUCAACUGUUCAGGCUGGUGGUGGUAGUGUAAUGCUGUGGGGAAUGCUUUCUUAGCACACAUUGGGCCCCUUAAAACCAACAGAGCAGCCUAUCUUGCUGACCACGUGCAUACAUUUCUCUGUCUCUCCUCCUCCAUUAACAGGUUUUUCUGUCACUCUUUCUCUCUGUUAACAGGUUUUUCUGUCUCUCCUCCUCUACGGACAUAUUUUUUUUCCGUCUCUCGUUCUCUCUCUGACAAGGUUUUUCUGUCUCUCUUUAUCUAUGAACAGGUUUUUCUCUCUCUCUGCUCUAUUACCAAUUUUUUCUCUCUCUCUCUCUCCUACUCUAUAGACAUCUUUCUCUCUCUUUUUAAAAAUCUUUUUCUGUCUUUCGAGACAUUUUUUCUGUCUGCUUUCCUCUAUGAACAAGUUUUUCUGUCUCUCCUCCUCUCUCCAUUUAUCUGUGUACUUGGCCAGGAUUUUUCUUUGCUUAGCAUCUCAGGUCUGGUGCCAGUGUAGAGAUUUGUCUCAAAGUAACAAACUGACAAAUUGAUGUGUUUUGCUGUUUUAUUGCAUAAUGACAAUUUUCCAGAUACAAAGUGUGUGUUUGUUUGAUAAUCUGAUGAAUUGUAACUUGUGAUGUGCUCUGAGCUUGACCUGUCUUAGUCACUGAUAGUCACUGAUGAGUGAGAUGUGUGACUAACUGGCAUUUCACAGUUCAGCUCUUGGUCUUUUUUUUUUUAAAUGGAUGUGCUUGCCUAAAAAUUCAACCUGAACUGUAAUACCUUAAAAUUUGUAAUGCUAAUUGGGAAUGACCUAAUUCUCUCCUUGUGAGAAAACAGGAUUUUCAAGAUGGUUUGUUUGCUUGGCCUCUCUCACUGCGGCACGGCUUCAUCUGGGAGACAGGAGGCCCGGGGCAGCAGUCCUAAUUUGGGCUCUCUGUUGUAUUCACAAAGGGAAUAAACUGAAUAAAUCGUACUUUGACAAAUAAAUAAAUCUUCAAACUAUGUGA